CUUACAACUAACAGAAAUUUGUUUCUCAGAGUUCUGAAAGAUAGGAGGCUCAAGAUCAAGGAACUGGCAGGUCUCAUUCUAGGUUCCCCUUCUCUUGACUAACACUCCUCGCCUUCUGGCCUCUGGCAUGAGGGCUUCAAUGUGUUCAAGUGGCUACCACAGCUUUAAGUUUAAUGGAUAUCUUACUAUGCCUCCUGAUGGAAGAGUUGCUUGAUGACAACCAAGACCUUGAGCUCUACAAAGCCUAAAGUUACUGGGACUGGAUCCCCAGACACUUGAAAUGGAUCACUGAGAUCACUGAGAGUGAUGCUGAACAAAACACUUCCACUCUUACCACUUGGUUUCUAAAGCUAUGUAUUCUUCCUCUUGGGGAAAUAUCAUGAUACAAUGACUGCUUCAAAGAUGUUAGCUUCAAGUGUUGUAAUAUGAAAAGGUAUUAAAGAGGAAGACAUACUGCAGUGGGAUAAACAGCAAAAAUGAGAACAAUUUUAAUUUGCUGUAUGUGAAGAUGAUCUUAAACUCUUGUCUUCUUUUAACUUUGGUGGUGAAGAAUUCACUUUGAAUCUCUAAGAAUACAUCGGACCAUGUUAGCAAGAUUGCAGUAAACCAAGUCUAAUGGAAGAAGGGGUGUUACUUAAGGCAACAUGCAAGCUCCGGAAUCUAAGUAAUGAUGUCACUACAGAUCCAGAGUAGAAAGAGAAAGAACAAUGAGGACGGAAGAAAGGUUUUGAAACAUAAUGAUACCCCUUCAUUCACAACACACCUGGAGUUGAGUUUCAAGAGGGGAGUCAUUGGAAACAUUCAGGUGUGAAUCACUAUACCCAGCCCUAAUCAAGUAUUAUGAGUAGGAAGUAGCCAGGGGAUACUUUCAGAAAAAGCCAUUUCUGAGAGGAGGAGACAUGAGAGGAGACAUGGAGACCUGGUGCCAUCAGUCAGACUGGCCUCAGAACUGGAUGGAUUAAAAAUUGAGACUUUCUUCAGCUCAUGGACCAUGGAGUCUAUUGAUGGAAAGAAGGCAUUUGAAAAGAUAAGUCAAAUAAACGGUCUUUGAAGCAGAAGAAAUAUAAUAUGGUGAUCCCUGAUUACCCUCCCUCAAACCCUCCCAUGCCCUUCUUAGCGAGUCAUGUGACCACAGAAACAGAAGCUCAGAGGGACCUUAAAACUCAGGAGGCUGUGUCUAUUCCCCAAAUUUCUUUACUAAAUCUGCAGGGAAUUUUGUCAACUAUGUAUAUAUUAUUUCAGCAAAUAUUUGUAGGUUUCUAUGAUUUACUAAUACUUACCAAGGAAUAGAAUAAAUGAGGAAGAGCUAAAUGGCCUUUGCCUUUAAAUAUUUCACAGAUUGCUAUUCACAAAACUAAAUAAUUAUUAUUUCCUAGAGGAUCUGAUAAGCCCUGAAUAUUGAAACAUAGAAGGUAUCUAGAAAGAACUAGUGAAGGAAGUCACUAAACAAACACACACACAGACAGAAAUUGCAGUCACAGAUGGAGACGAACUGGUUGAAUAUUCAGCCUCAGAGUAAUGUCUCUGAGUUCACACAGUUCACCUCAAUCAAAUCAUGAAUGAAUGUAGAGAAUAAAAUAUGGCUGAUGGUACAUGUGAAAUACAAAUGGCAGAGCUGGCGAAACGGGAAGGCUGCAGAUAUUGGAGACUGGUCAGGGACUGAAGUUAUCACUUCUACCAUCAUUGGUGGGUUUUUUGUUUGCUUUUUGUUUUGCAUAAUUUUAAUAUUCAGAGCAGAUUUUCAAAAUGGUAGGGAUUAGAGAAAGAAGGGUGAUCUAUCUGGAUUUUAUAAAACUUGCUAAAAAAUUCCAUAAUGCAAAAUAAUUGAAGAUAAUGAAGGAAUUUUCUCACAUAGAAAAGAGCAGUAUUGCACUUAAUCAACAUCCCAUUUUUCAACCACAGGGGUUGUUUCUGCCUUUUCCUAUUUAUUUAUGUAAAAAGAAAUGCAAAGUCUGCAGAAGCAGGGUAAGAAAACCUUGUUAAACUUUUUCAAUAAUCCCUGUUAUAAUGUUCAAAGCAAUUACUUUUGCUGUCAGCAGGAAUAAAAUUUACUACCAUCAGAGAGUGCAAAAAGUCAAAUGUAUUACUAAGAAUUACAACAUAAGCUGCAUGCAAAUAACCCCACAAGUUCUUAGGGCUUGUCUUCCCGUGUUUGUACAGCUGAGGCUUCAGUCAUUCUUUUAUUACAGCUUAAAAAAAUUCCUAGAUGCUGGUGUAGAAUUUGCCCAUCAAUUUCAAUGAAAGCCAAAAAUGUACUAAGCUUGCUCUCUUGAGGAGUACUAUUAUCAGUGUGCUUUUACAAAAAUAAGUAUUUCUUUGUAAACAAACCAAAUAAUAUGAAGAUUAUGCAAUGAGAAAUAAUGAAAGCUAUAUAAACAGUUUUUUUCAAGUAUUUGAACUUUGCUCUCAUAGGCAGUCUUUAGCAUAAUGAUAAUUAUCUAUUGUACUCAAAGGACAUAAAAGCCUUUCAGUGAACUCUUAACAUUGUAUACAUUUCACUUCAGUAUGAAAGUAAUAAUCCUGAAACAUAGGCUUGACUUCCUGACAUUACCAUCUCCUUAAUUGUAACCACUUCAUUCCCCCAAACCCCAAAAUCUUACCGAAGUCAGAGCCCAGCCAGUCUUUAAUGUCAACAGUGGCAAAAAAAAUAAUACAUGCACAAGUAAGCCGCCCACCUUGGGUCCCCAACGUGUGGAAAUUAUAGACAGGAGCUAUGACAUCUGGCCAGCCUUUUCUUUUUUAAAGCUCCCUUUUUAAUUUUAUAAAUAUAUUUCAGAAAUAUUUUAUUCUUAACUAAAAUGAAAUUAUUAAA